CGGAAGUGCCUUGCUGAUUGUGCGUGCUGGAAGCCUGAAGAACUCCCAUCAUCGCAGGUCACAAGGCACUUCUUCGUUCUCCGAGACGUUAUCCACAAGGCACGGGUCGGUGGAUCGAG
rfam:Streptomyces atratus strain OK807 genome assembly, contig: Ga0007934_1063